GACGAACGCUGGCGGCAUGCCUAACACAUGCAAGUCUAGGGGUAGCAAUACCACUGGCGCACGGGUGAGUAACACGUAGGUUAUCUGCCCCCAUCACAGACAUAACCCCGGGAAACCGGGGCUAAUAUCUGAUGAGGUCGCGAGAUCAAAGCUUCGGCGGAUGGGGAUGAGCCUGCGGCUGAUUAGCUAGUUGGUGAGGUAAUGGCUCACCAAGGCGACGAUCAGUAGCUGGUCUGAGAGGACGAACAGCCACACUGGAACUGAGACACGGUCCAGACUCCUACGGAGGCAGCAGUGAGGAAUAUUGGUCAAUGGGAGCAAUCCUGAACCAGCAAUGCCGCGUGUGGGAUGACAGGGCUUCGCCUUGUAAACCACUGUCGGACGGGACGAAAGGAGGCCUCGGGCCUCUGGGACGGUACCGUCAAAGGAAGGGUCGGCUAACGUACGUGCCAGCAGCCGCGGUAAU
rnacentral:rRNA from 1 species